GAUCAUGGCUCAGGAUGAACGCUAGCUACAGGCUUAACACAUGCAAGUCGAGGGGAAACGAUAUUGGAAGCUUGCUUCCGAUAGGCGUCGACCGGCGCACGGGUGAGUAACGCGUAUCCAACCUGCCCAUCACUUGGGGAUAACCUUGCGAAAGUAAGACUAAUACCCAAUGACGUCUCUAGAAGACAUCUGAAAGAGAUUAAAGAUUUAUCGGUGAUGGAUGGGGAUGCGUCUGAUUAGCUUGUUGGCGGGGUAACGGCCCACCAAGGCGACGAUGGGUAGGGGUUCUGAGAGGAAGGUCCCCCACAUUGGAACUGAGACACGGUCCAAACUCCUACGGGAGGCAGCAGUGAGGAAUAUUGGUCAAUGGGCGCGAGCCUGAACCAGCCAAGUAGCGUGGAGGACGACGGCCCUACGGGUUGUAAACUCCUUUUAUAAGGGGAUAAAGUUGGCCAUGUAUGGCCAUUUGCAGGUACCUUAUGAAUAAGCAUCGGCUAAUUCCGUG
rnacentral:rRNA from 1 species